GAUGAAGAACGUAGUGAAAUGCGAUAAGUAAUGUGAAUUGCAGAAUUCAGUGAAUCAUCGAAUCUUUGAACGCACAUUGCGCCCGCUAGUAUUCUGGCGGGCAUGCCUGUCCGAGCGUCAUUUCAACCCUCAAGCCCCCGGGCUUGGUGUUGGGGAUCGGCGAGCCUCCGCGCCCGCCGUCCCCUAAAUCUAGUGGCGGUCUCGCUGUAGCUUCCUCUGCGUAGUAGCACACCUCGCACUGGGAAACAGCGCGGCCACGCCGUUAAACCCCCAACUUCUGAACGUUUGACCUCGGAUCAGGUAGGAAUACCCGCUGAACUUAAGCAUAUCAAUAAGCGGAAGA
rnacentral:misc_RNA from 1 species